AGGAGCAGCAGAGGACCGAGCGGUCGUUGGUCUCCCCAAGGGAACCUGCACUUGAUGGAUCAGCUGGCACCACCCAGAUCAAUAAACUGGCUCAUCAGAUCUUGUGGCCCCUCACCCAGGAACUGAUAAGGGCAAGAAGACCGCUUUGACUCCCUAUGAUUUCAUCUCUGACCAAUCAGCACUCCUGGCUCACUGGCUUCCCCCCACCCAAGUUAUCCUUGAAAACUCUGAUCCCUGAAUGCUUCAAUGCUCAAGGAGAUGGAUUUGAGUAAUAAUAAAACUCUAGUCUCCUGCACAGCCAGCUCUGUGUAAAUUACUCUUUCUCUAUUGCAAUUCCCCCAUCUCGAUAGGCUCUGUCUAGGCAGCGGGCAAGGUGAACCCCUUGGGUGGUUGCAAGCCGAGUCGCCCAACACCCUCUUCCAAAUGCACAGCUGUUGCUUUGCAGGCUGCAAGGCUCCU
rnacentral:lncRNA from 1 species